GUGAUGACCAUUUACUUCGCAUCGCGACACACCGACAACCGUCAUGAGUGAGCAGCGAAUGAAAAAGAAUAUCGAGAAAGAACAUCUGAG
rnacentral:snoRNA from 1 species